rnacentral:rRNA from 1 species
AUUGAACGCUGGCGGCAGGCCUAACACAUGCAAGUCGAGCGAGCGGCGGACGGUUGAGUACUGUCUGGGGACUGCCCGAUAGAGGGGGAUACCUACUGGACACGGUAGCUACUACCGCAUACUAUCGGCUAACCCCUAUGGGAUUAGCUAGUUGGUUAGGUAAUGGCUCACCUAGGCGACGAUCCCUAGCUGGGCUGAGAGGAUGAUCAGCCACACUGGGACGGAGACACGGCCCAGACGCAUACGGAGGCAGCAGUGGGGAAUAGUGCACAAUGGGCGCAAGCCUGAUGCAGCCAUGCCGCGUGGAUGAAGAAGGCCAUAGGGUUGUAAAGUACUUUCAGUCGGGAGGCGUUACCGACAGAAGAAGCACCGGCUAACUCCGUGCCAGCAGCCGCGGUAAUUC